GACAGACAUCGAAGGUGAUCGAUCGUUGUAGAAAUCCAACUGUCGGAGUCCGCCCAUCGUAGGAGCUCAUUUGAUAUCCAUCUGCUAUGGGAGUUCGGAUGGAGUCUGUUUCUUGUAGAAGGUCGAAAGGAGACCUCUUAUUGUAGAAGCUCGAUCGAAGAUUGGUUGUCGUGGGAGCUCGGAGUAGCGACCUGGUCGGUGGGUCCUGUCCCAUUGUAGAAGCUUGUCUGGGAUCCGUCCACUGUAGGAGCUCGGCUGAAGUCUGCCUGUA
rnacentral:lncRNA from 1 species